rnacentral:rRNA from 1 species
GUAAGGAAUAUUGGUCAAUGGACGAAAGUCUGAACCAGCCAUGCCGCGUGAAGGAUGAAGGCCCUCUGGGUUGUAAACUUCUUUUAUCUGGGACGAAAAAAGGGUAUUCUUACUCACUUGACGGUACCAGAGGAAUAAGCACCGGCUAACUCCGUGCCAGCAGCCGCGGUCAUACGGAGGGUGCAAGCGUUAUCCGGAUUCACUGGGUUUAAAGGGUGCGUAGGUGGGUAUUUAAGUCAGUGGUGAAAUCUCCGAGCUUAACUCGGAAACUGUCAUUGAUACUAUUUGCCUUGAAUGCCCUGGAGAUAAGCGGAAUAUGUCGUGUAGCGGUGAAAUGCUUAGAGAUGACAUAGAACACCAAUUGCGUAGGCAGCUUACUACGGGGGGAUUGACACAGAGGCACGAAAGCGUGGGGAGCAAACAGGAUUAGAAACCCCAGUAGUCC